GAUGAACGCUGGCGGCGUGCUUAACACAUGCAAGUCGAACGAAGCACUUUAUUUGAUUUCCUUCGGGACUGAUUAUUUUGUGACUGAGUGGCGGAAGGGUGAGUAACGCGUGGGUAACCUGCCUUGUACAGGGGGAUAACAGCUGGAAACGGCUGCUAAUACCGCAUAAGCGCACAGCAUCGCAUGAUGCAGUGUGAAAAACUCCGGUGGUAUAAGAUGGACCCGCGUUGGAUUAGCUAGUUGGUGAGGUAACGGCCCACCAAGGCGACGAUCCAUAGCCGACCUGAGAGGGUGACCGGGCACAUUGGGACUGAGACACGGCCCAAACUCCUACGAGAGGCAGCAGUGGGGAAUAUUGCACAAUGGGCGAGAGCCUGAUGCAGCGACGCCGCGUGAGCGAAGAAGUAUUUCGGUAUGUAAAGCUCUAUCAGCAGGGAAGAUAAUGACGGUACCUGACUAAGAAGCACCGGCUAAAUACGU
rnacentral:rRNA from 1 species